rnacentral:rRNA from 1 species
UACGUAGGUGACCAGCGUUGUCCGGAUUUACUGGGCGUAAAGAGCGCGCAGGCGGUCGUUCAAGUCGAGUGUGAAAGCCCCCGGCUCAACUGGGGAGGGUCAUUCGAUACUGAUCGACUUGAAGGCAGGAGAGGGAAGCGGAAUUCCCGGUGUAGUGGUGAAAUGCGUUGAUAUCAGAAGGAACGCCGGUGGCGAAAGCGACGUGCUGGACCUCUACUGACGCUGAGGCGCGAAAGCCAGGGGAGCAAACGGG